rnacentral:rRNA from 1 species
AUUGAACCCUGGCGGCAUGCUUUACACAUGCAAGUCGAACGGUAACAGGCCGCAAGGUGCUGACGAGUGGCGAACGGGUGCGUAAUGCAUCGGAACGUGCCCAGUCGUGGGGGAUAACUACUCGAAAGAGUAGCUAAUACCGCAUACGAUCUAUGGAUGAAAGCGGGGGACCGUAAGGCCUCGCGCGAUUGGAGCGGCCGAUGUCAGAUUAGGUAGUUGGUGGGGUAAAGGCUCACCAAGCCAACGAUCUGUAGCUGGUCUGAGAGGACGACCAGCCACACUGGGACUGAGACACGGCCCAGACUCCUACGGGAGGCAGCAGUGGGGAAUUUUGGACAAUGGGCGCAAGCCUGAUCCAGCAAUGCCGCGUGCAGGAAGAAGGCCUUCGGGUUGUAAACUGCUUUUGUACGGAACGAAACGGCUCUGGUUAAUACCCGGGGCUAAUGACGGUACCGGAAGAAUAAGCACCGGCUAACUACGUG